GAUGAACGCUGGCGGCGUGCCUAAUACAUGCAAGUCGAGCGAACGGACGAGAAGCUUGCUUCUCUGAUGUUAGCGGCGGACGGGUGAGUAACACGUGGAUAACCUACCUAUAAGACUGGGAUAACUUCGGGAAACCGUAGCUAAUACCGGAUAAUAUUUUGAACCGCAUGGUUCAAAAGUGAAAGACGGUCUUGCUGUCACUUAUAGAUGGAUCCGCGCUGCAUUAGUUAGUUGGUAAGGUAACGGCUUACCAAGGCAACGAUGCAUAGCCGACCUGAGAGGGUGAUCGGCCACACUGGAACUGAGACACGGUCCAGACUCCUACGGGAGGCAGCAGUAGGGAAUCUUCCGCAAUGGGCGAAAGCCUGACGGAGCAACGCCGCGUGAGUGCUGAAGGUCUUCGGAUCGUAAAACUCUGUUAUUAGGGAAGAACAUAUGUGUAAGUAACUGUGCUCAUCUUGACGGUACCUAAUCAGAAAGCCACGGCUAACUACGUG
rnacentral:rRNA from 1 species